rnacentral:rRNA from 1 species
GUGAAUCAUCGAAUCUUUGAACGCACCUUGCGCCCCUUGGUAUUCCGAGGGGCACACCCGUUUGAGUGUCGUGAAAACCUCAACCUCCUUGGUUUCUUCUGGAGACCAAAGGCAGGCUUGGACUUUGGAGGCCUUUGCUGGAACCUCUCUCUUUUGAAGGCCAGCUCCUCUUAAACGAAUUAGCAGGGUCCUCUUUGCCGAUCCUCGACGUGUGAUAAGAUGUUUCCAUGUCUUGGUUUCUGGCUCUGUCACCUUUGGGACCCGCUUCUAACCGUCUUGACCUUGCGUCGAGACAAUGUUCGAGCAUGUCUCCCUUCUCGGGAAGCUCCCUCGACCCCACGAACCCUUGACCUCAAAUCGGGUGAGACUACCCGCUGAACUUAA